rnacentral:sRNA from 1 species
AGUGGCCAGAGCGACUCUUCAGGGAGGUGGCAGGAAAGGCUUGGAACAGCUGCCGGAGGUGACGGAGCGGCGGCCCCGCCCGGUGCGCUGGAGGUCGAAGCUUCCAGCUGAAGCCCGGAAUCUUCCUCCACUAACAGAGGCUCAAAAGAAUAAGCUUCGACACCUCUCAGUUGUCACCCUGGCUGCUAAAGUAAAGUGUAUCCCAUAUGCAGUGUUGCUGGAGGCUCUUGCCCUGCGUAAUGUGCGGCAGCUGGAAGACCUUGUGAUUGAGGCUGUGUAUGCUGACGUGCUUCGUGGCUCCCUGGACCAGCGCAACCAGCGGCUCGAGGUUGACUACAGCAUCGGGCGGGACAUCCAGCGCCAGGACCUCAGUGCCAUUGCCCGAACCCUGCAGGAAUGGUGUGUGGGCUGUGAGGUUGUGCUGUCAGGCAUUGAGGAGCAGGUGAGCCGUGCCAACCAACACAAGGAGCAGCAGCUGGGCCUGAAGCAGCAGAUUGAGAGUGAGGUUGCCAACCUUAAAAAAACCAUUAAAGUUACGACGGCAGCAGCAGCCGCAGCCACAUCUCAGGACCCUGAGCAACACCUGACUGAGCUGAGGGAACCAGCUCCUGGCACCAACCAGCGCCAGCCCAGCAAGAAAGCCUCAAAGGGCAAGGGG